GGUCCCAUAGUUUAACCGGAUAAAACGGCGGUUUCCUAAACCACUGAUCUGGGUUCAAGUCCCGGUGGGAUCA
rnacentral:tRNA from 1 species